rnacentral:rRNA from 1 species
GUGCCAGCAGCCGCGGUAAUACGAAGGGUGCAAGCGUUACUCGGAAUUACUGGGCGUAAAGCGUGCGUAGGUGGUUAUUUAAGUCCGUUGUGAAAGCCCUGGGCUCAACCUGGGAACUGCAGUGGAUACUGGAUGACUAGAAUGUGGUAGAGGGUAGUGGAAUUCCUGGUGUAGCAGUGAAAUGCGUAAAGAUCAG